rnacentral:rRNA from 1 species
GACGAACGCUGGCGGCGUGCCUAAUACAUGCAAGUCGAGCGGACCGACCAGGAGCUUGCUCUUGUUCGGUUAGCGGCGGACGGGUGAGUAACACGUGGGUAACCUGCCCGUAAGACCGGGAUAACUCCGGGAAACCGGAGCUAAUACCGGAUAACACCGAGGAAAGCAUGGUAUUUGGUUGAAAGGAGGUUGGGGGGGUAAAUGAAGGAGGGGAACGCGGCGCAUUAGCUAGUUGGUGAGGUAACGGCUCACCAAGGCGACGAUGCGUAGCCGGCCUGAGAGGGUGACCGGCCACACUGGGACUGAGACACGGCCCAGACUCCUACGGGAGGCAGCAGGAGGUAAUCUUCCUCAAUAUACUAAAUUCUCACUAAUCUACCCCUCAGGAUCGAAUAAGGGCUUCGGAUCGUAAAGCUCUGUUGUUAGGGAAGAAAAAUCGUCUUUCGAACAUUUCAUCGCAGUAACUUUCCCUCACCAGAAAUCCCCGGCUAACUACCUG